AUGCGCCUCUGAACUCUUAAUUUCUCCUCAUUUCCCUCUUCUUCGGCUGAAAUAUCAAAAUGAGGAGCUCACUGUUCAGAGCUAUCAAAACCCUAAAUAACUCCGCGUCUUGUUCCCAUCUCCUCCGUCGUGGCUACGGCUCGGAAGCCGUUCCCAACCGGAAAGUCGCCGUUCUCGGCGCUGCUGGCGGGAUCGGUCAGCCACUUGCCCUACUCAUGAAGCUCAAUCCUCUUGUCUCUAGUCUUGCUCUCUAUGAUAUUGCUAACACCCCUGGAGUCGCCGCCGAUGUUAGCCACAUCAACACUAGAUCUGAGGUUAAAGGGUACGUGGGAGAAGAGGAACUAGGGAAAGCCUUGGAGGGAUCAGAUGUUGUGAUCAUUCCAGCUGGUGUCCCAAGAAAACCUGGAAUGACCCGUGAUGAUCUCUUCAACAUCAAUGCUGGAAUUGUCAAGGCUCUCUGUGAAGCAAUUGCCAAGUACUGCCCCAAUGCACUCGUAAAUAUGAUUAGCAACCCCGUGAAUUCAACAGUACCUAUUGCAUCUGAGGUUUUCAAGAAGGCAGGAACAUAUGAUGAGAAAAGAUUGUUCGGUGUAACCACCCUUGAUGUAGUAAGGGCCAAGACUUUCUAUGCUGGGAAGGCCGAAGUGCCAGUUGCAGAGGUUAAUGUGCCAGUUGUUGGCGGCCAUGCAGGCAUAACCAUUCUCCCAUUAUUUUCACAAGCGACACCAAAAGCCAAUCUAGCAGAUGAAGAGAUUCAAGCUCUUACAAAGAGAACUCAAGAUGGAGGGACUGAAGUUGUUGAAGCAAAGGCUGGAAAAGGCUCUGCAACUUUGUCAAUGGCGUAAGUUUGUAUUUCAACUAGUUUUUGAUGCUGUGGCUUGUUUAACAAGGGUAUACUUUAGCUACUUGUGGUAAAAUCUUGUGUCCUAUUUUUAAGUUUUACCAAAAGAAAUUAAGAUAAGUGAAUUGUUGAGUUCCUGAAUGUGUAAUUAUAGUCAUGCCAGAAAUAGUUUUGGAUUGAUUGAAUUUAUGUGUGCUAAUGAAACCAUGGUCAAGACAUGAAAUUGGAGAAUUUAGAUGAGAUUAAGCUCAUGUGAGCUCCAGUUUUUCAGUUGUUGGAUUAAGCUAUUAAUUGGUAAAGUGAUUGGAUCUAGAGUUUCAGUUUUUUCAGAUUGUCUUUGUAAUCUAACAUGUAAAUGAAAUUACAUAUUGUAUUUUGUAUUUUUUAAAUGCAGUGAUUGUGUUUUCAAUGUACAUGUUUUUUCCAGUUGUCCAAAUGGAAAAUCUAAUUGAUUUUUUUUUAUUUGUUUGAAUCUUCUGAACACGUGCUUGGUGCAUUUACUUGUUUUGGGCUUGUGUUACCGCUUUCCUGUUUGGAAGCAUAUCUUUUCAAUGAUCCUACUUAAGAGUUGAAUGCUUUCAUGGCAUGGUUUUGUGUGAGUUCCACCUCUUGUUGACUGCACCAUAAAUCAGUUCACUAAGCAGUAAACUUUCAUUAUUUACUUUGGACUGUGUUGCUGUUUCCUCUCUACUUUCCCAGUUAUGUCCAUUCAUGUCCUUGCACCUGCUCUAGUGGAAGGACAACAAAUUUCUAGGUAUUAACUGGUUUGAUUGUUCUUUUUCAGCUAUGCAGGAGCCAUUUUUGCGGAUGCUUGCUUGAAAGGACUCAAUGGGGUUCCAGAUGUGGUGGAAUGUUCAUUUGUGCAAUCGAGUGUUACUGAGCUUCCUUUCUUUGCGUCAAAGGUGAGGCUUGGAAAGAAUGGUGUGGAGGAAAUUAUUGGGUUGGGCCCUCUCUCUGACUACGAAAAGGAAGGCUUAGAAAAGCUGAAGCCUGAGCUCCUAGCAUCUAUUGAGAAGGGAAUCAAGUUUGCCAACAAUUAAUUAAAUCAAUGCUUUUUGGAUGGCGGUCAUGUGUUCCUUCCAUUAUUAACUCAAAUUUUGAAAUUUUUGGCAGUGUUGUACUUAUUGUUUGCCAGUAACACUGGCUUUUCCAUUGAAAGUAGAGCAGGUUUUGCGUAAACCAAACUUGUUAAUAAUAAUACCCUCUGGAAUGUAACAGGAGAGUUUUAAUAGUAACUUAAAUCAAAUUUAUAAAAAUUCUAGGGAAAUUGAUUGAUGUUCCUGCCUGAAUUAUGUAAUACAGGUUUAGAAUCGGUUGGUCAUAAGCACCUCUCUCUCUCUCUCUCUC
rnacentral:misc_RNA from 1 species